UACGUAGGGGGCUAGCGUUGUCCGGAAUCAUUGGGCGUAAAGCGCGUGUGGGCGGUUCGGUAAGUCCGCUGUGAAAGUCGGGGGCUCAACCCUCGAAUGCCGGUGGAUACUGUCGGACUAGAGUACGGAAGAGGCGAGUGGAAUUCCUGGUGUAGCGGUGAAAUGCGCAGAUAUCAGGAGGAACACCAAUUGCGAAGGCAGCUCGCUGGGACGUUACUGACGCUGAGACGCGAAAGCGUGGGGAGCAAACAGG
rnacentral:rRNA from 1 species